GUGGAGGAGAGGUUAGGAGAAGCUGAGGGGCAGAGGGGGAGCUGGCAGAAUGCAAAUUGCAAGACCAAGCAAGCGAAAGGGAAAGGAACCACCACUACCCAUCAGGGAAUAGAUAUUUGGUGGCAGUGUUAUGUGCUGUCAAAUUACGGCCAUUGGGGAGGGGCUAUGAAUUACUGCUCCCCACCCACCCUAAACCCUGUUGGGUGGUCUAGCAAUCUAAAUGUAAAUUUCAAAGGGGAAAGACCUCCAGCACACAGACUAACUUGUUUUGUCUGUAGUUUUGAACAUUAACCAAUCAGAAUGGAGUUUUUGCUGUUCCCGGGCUUUUUUGAAACUCUACCCCUGUAACUGCCCCUUCUCACCAUGAGGUGAUCGAACCUCCAUCUUAGUUCUCUCUCUAUCCACAUUCUGCCUCAGUCAGUCGUCUCUCACACACACACUCUCUUGCAUGCAUGAAGAUGUAACAUUUCCACAGUUGGCUCUCUGAGCCUAAAUACCUCUAUGUUUCUGUUAUUCCUCUGUGAAGCUGAAAACGUUUAAUUAUGCUAACCCAUGAUCCCUGGGUGAAGAGCGAGGCGGACUGGAUGGCCCUCUCAGAUGGGGCGGGUAUGUAAGACUGGAGGUGAGAGCAAAGUGCCUCUCACAGGAGUGCUGUCCCUCCCGCCUACGGUCGAUAAAGAAAGUCAAACCCCGCCAAUUCCCCCACCCAGGAAGACAAGACCGCCUGGACCAGACCCAGGGAGGAUAGAGGAGAAUAUGAAAGAGUUAACGGUCAAGAAGACCAGAACUGGUUUGGCGGGAACAGAGUGAAAAGCACAGGUAGUGGUGGAGCUGGUGCUGGCGGAUAUAAAAGGGGGUGAAGGAGGACUUCCACCAGGUUGGGAGUGGAUGUAGAAGACCCGUGGACUGCCAAGGUGGCGAAGCUAAGAGUCCCUAAAGAAGAAGCCGAUGCUAAGAGAAGGUGAAAGAAUACCCCCAAACCAUCUUACUGGGGGGAAAGGGAAACAAAAGAAUGGAGAAGGAGACUGAGGGAGGAAAAGGAAAAGGUGGAGAGAGAACGGAGGGAGAGAUUAGAAUGGAGAAUAUGAGGGAUGCAGCAGAUGGAAUGGCAGGAGGACCGUGGCAGACAAUGGAUCCCUCCCCAGACCUCGCCUGGAUGGACCAGUGAGACGAGGACACAAUCCCCUUACUGGAGGGGGAGAAUGGACCAGUAUUAAACACGGGUGUUUCUCUGGAAUGGCCAGGACCCUGGAAUGUUCAAGAGGGAAACCCUUUCAAAGUUGAAGAAUGGAAACCCUUGCCUGACCCGUUGUUUGACACGGAGAAAGGUUGCUUUUGCCGAUACCGGAUUUCUGUUAAAUAAUGCAAUAAAUGUUACCCCUGAUUUCAAAA